GCUUGUAUGUCCCCUGGUGAUAGCCGGAGAACUGCCCAAUCUCUCUCCUCCAUGCAACUGGCGAGCAAACCAACAAAACCACUACACUCACCAAAACCAUCGUUUUCUCUUUUGAAAUCUCUUUCAGGUAAAAAAAAAGAAAAAAGAAAUCUCUUUCUUUCUCCUCUAAAACCUCACCUGCAAUGGCUUUCUUCUCAUUUGGGCUAUACCAUCUCCAACCAACCAAUUUAAGAAACAAUCCGUCCGCUUUCCUUCUUCCCUUAAUCUGUCUUCACUUCAUUCUCAGUUUUGUUUGGCUUUAUCUCCACUUAGAUUAGGUUCAAGAUUGCUUGGCAGUGGUCUUCUUGCAAGAGCUGAAGAUAAACAAAAUAGGGUUUGAGGAUCUGAGUAAGGUUACGUGUUAAGUGGGCGUUUUUUUUGGUAAAUUCAAAGAUGUUUUGGCGUGGCGUCGCCGGUGGAGACAAUUUUGGACAAGGACAACUUUACACUCGAGGAGCUGUUUGAUGAGGAUGAAAUUAUUCAAGAAUGCAAAGCUCUAAAUGGACGUCUUAUCAAUUGGUAAUGUCUUUUUAUGGCUAAUUGCUCUGUGCUUCUCCUUGCUUUUUCUAUAAAAGUUCUCUUUAAGAAUUUUGUUAAUUGAGGAGAUUUUUGUAAUU